rnacentral:lncRNA from 1 species
GCAGUAUGCUGCACAGGGCAGAUGCAUGUUCUAACAGCUAGAAAACACCAGAGACGAGCUCCACAAAAAAUCGUUGCAGAGAGUGAGAAGAAGCUCAUUUACCUUUACUGAGAGCUGGUAUUACUUUUGAGGAACCUCUCCAAUAGCUCUCGCUUCCCUAAUGAGAAGAAACAACUCAGUAACUUCUGCUAAGAACUUUUAAUUAUCUUUCAGAAGUAUUCUUCAAUAUUUUAACGUAGCUGAAGAAGAAAAAUAAACUUGUAUUACCUUUGAGAAACCUCUCGGACGCGGUUGCAGGUUCCCGAAGCCCAGCUCGGAGCUGCCCCCUGCGCAGCCCCUCACGGCCCCUCUGGGCACCGCCAUGUGCUGGAACUGAGCGUGCUGCUCCUCGGGCGGAGCUCGGCGGUGCCUCCUGCUGGCUGUCCCGGUUCUUGAGCGGUCGGUGUUGGGGGGCUCUGCUGCUGCUGAGGUAAGGGCUGGGGCUGUGUCAGGGUUGGGGUGUUGGACAAGGCCGUGCUGUCUGGGCCUUUGUCUAGGUCGCCCCAGCGUUGGUCUCCUGUUACCUUGAGGCAGCUGCGUGCUGUGGUCGCCAUUUUGUGUGGGAGUCCCGUGCUUUUAUUAACUGGAGUAAUCAAGGAGAGGGCUCAGGUUUACAGCUCUAGAGGGGUUAUAGCUGGGGAGGAGGUGUUAAUAGAGAAGACAGCACUAUAAACCACUAUUUAAUUUAAGGUUUAGGCCUUUAGGUUGUACUUGGAUCAGAAUUUCCAAGCUUCAGUUGGAUUAUGAAGAACUGCAGGUGACAAUGCUGUAGUUACCUGGCUAAAACGGUCUGGAACUUGCAGUGUGUUUUAGCGAGCCUCUUCAGUGAAAGAUCUGGGCGUAUCUUAGAAGAUAGCUGUUUGCAGCAGUCACUCCACUGUGACCAGGAGGUCAGCUGGGUGCCAGUCUUGAAGGUCUUCUGGAGUCUCAGACAAGUGUCCCAUCUGGCCAGUGUCACAAAGAUGAAAGGAAAUUGUUAUUUCAGACAAAGGCCUUUACUUGAUAGGUGUCUAGACUUCAUUUUCAGGAGAAGUUCCUUCUGAAGUGGACCACUUCAGAGGUACUGAUAGCUUGUUUCCAAGGAUUACUUUGAAGUCAAUGCAUGUAUGUUGUGGGUAUCAAAUUUAAGGCAUCCGGAGUGAAGAAACAGCUUGUAGUCUUGUGGUCCUCUGCCUUGUCUGUGUAGGAAUUUCUUGCUUUUUCCUGAGGCCCUUUCAGAUAGAUGGGAUGCAGAUGCUAUGCUGUGCUUUGUCAGAUGCUGUGCUCUGACAAAAGGUUAGCAGGAUGAAUGACAUGUCAAAUUGUGUCAAAAAUAUCUUGUCUGAUGUUUAUUACAUUGCUGUUGUUGAGUGAGUGAACACACAAUGGAAAUUGGGUCCUUUGUUGCUAUUUAGCAUCUCCUACAUGUUUAAAAAACAACAACUGGCAGAAUGUGGUAGUAUCAGCUUAUGACUUGUCAACAAUUGGAUAUUUCUUUGGGGAGCUGUAUUCUAAAUGUGAAUGCUCUGGUUUGUGUUUUGCCUUUGCCAUUGGAAGAUUUUUGUAGACCUAUUUGGCUACACCAUCCCUAAUUCAUCUUGUGAUUUGUAGAAACAUGAUACUCGAACAUGCAUACAUGAAUUCAUCCUAGAUGAAUUAAGUAAGCAUUUUCCCUGUUGCUGGAAAGUGGUGGUAACUAUUUUCAGGACAGGAAAAGUUUUUUGUCUCGUGGUAUCAGUUUUGCUGAAUGAGCUGCAGCCCUGCUGGUCACAGGUAAUACAGCCUUUGCCUGGUGGGAAGCUUUUGCUUGGCUGAUUCUCUGUGGUGCCUAAACCAUUUAACAAGGGGUGCAGAAUGAUUUUGGUUCUUUACAGAUAUUUAUAUAUAACAUGAACGCUGAGUGUGAUUAUUGGUUGUUCCAAUAUUGCAUCUUUCCCUGAGGCUGAGAAUUUCACAUUUGGAAUUGUUGUUGGUCAGUGACUUAGAACUUCCCUAACUCUUCAGUGCAGCAGUUGGAGUACCUGUAUCAUACAUUCUCUUCUUCCCCAGUAAAAGUGCAUACAAUUUAUAUCAAUUGUUCUGAAAUAGUGUGAAGCUGACAAACUUGCUGAAUGAUACAAAUGUAAGCAGAUGAGCCAAUUAAAGCAAUUGUGUGAUUAGAAAUGCAUCUGUUAUUGUUACCAGUAAUUGUGUCCCUGAAACUGCUUGUGUAACUAGGUUUAAUUGCAUGUAUUGAAAUAAAAAGGCUGACUAUUGCUUAUUUUGUGGUACAACUUUAUUGCAUUUUCAAAGCUUUGACAUCCAU